GACAGUGGGGGAUAAGCUUCAUUGUCAAGAGGGAAACAGCCCAGACCACCAGCUAAGGUCCCUAAGUACACGCUUAGUGUGAAAGGAAGUGGAGUCGCCAAAACAGCCAGGAGGUUGGCUUAGAAGCAGCCAUCCUUUGAAGAGUGCGUAAUAGCUCACUGGUCGAGGGAUUCCGCGCCGAAAAUGUAACGGGGCUCAAGCGUGUCACCGAAGCUGUGGCAGUGCUGAUUUAUCAGCACUGGGUAGGGGAGCGUUCUGCAGGCAGAGAAGCUGCACUGUAAGGUGUGGUGGAGCGUGCAGAAGUGAGAAUGCCGGCAUGAGUAGCGUAAAUCUUGGUGAAAAUCCAAGACGCCGAAAGUCUGAGGUUUCCUACGCAACGUCUUUCGACGUAGGGUUAGUCGGGCCUAAGCCGAGGCCGCAAGGCGCAGGCGAUGGACAGUAGGUCAAAAUUCCUACACCACCGUUACCUCGUUUAAAGCAAAGAGGGGACACGGAAAGGUAGGUGGAGCGCGCCCAUUGGACAUGGUGCGUCCUUCCCUGUAGGCCAUGCUGGAGCAGGCAAAUCCACUCCAGCGUUACGAGCUGAGGGGGCAGGAAACUCUAGGGUUAACCUAGGGGAUUCCACUGACCCUAUACCGUCUAGAAAAGCCUCGUUGCUAUGUGGUAGUGGUGUCCGUACCGCAAACCGACACUGGUAGACAGGGAUAAAAGUCCCAAGGCGAUCGAGAGAACCCUCGUUAAGGAAUUCGGCAAAACGACCCCGUAACUUCGGGAUAAGGGGUUCCCAUGGCGUGAAAUCCGUUUCUGGAUGGAGCGCUUGUGGGAUGCAACAAAUUAGCUCAAGCGACUGUUUAACAAAAACAUAGGUGUCUGCAAAGGGGAAACCCUAAGUAUAGGCGCUGACGCCUGCCCAGUGCUGGAAGGUUAAGGGGCGGGGUUAUCCUUCGGGAGAAGCUCCAAACUGAAGCCCCAGUGAACGGCGGCCGUAACUAUAACGGUCCUAAGGUAGCGAAGUCCCUUGUCGGGUAAGUUCCGACCCGCACGAAUGGCGUAACGACUUGAGCACUGUCUCAACGAGGGACUCGGCGAAAUUGCAAUGCCCGUGAAGAUGCGGGCAACCCGCGACAGGACAAAAAGACCCCGUGGAGCUUUACUACAGCUUGUCAUUGGUCUGGAGGCAUGAAUGUGUAGGAUAGGUGGGAGGCUAUGAAGUCUCGACGCCAGUCGGGAUGGAGCCGUCGUUGAAAUACCACUCUUUCAUUUUUCUGGCCCUAACCCUGGAUAGGCCAGGGGACCAUGGCUGGUGGGUAGUUUGACUGGGGCAGUCGCCUCCUAAAAGGUAACGGAGGCGCACAAAGGUCCCCUCAGGGCGGAUGGAAAUCGCCCGUGGAGUGCAUUGGCAUAAGGGGGCUUGACUGCAAGACAUACAAGUCGAGCAGGUGCGAAAGCAGGUCAAAGUGAUCCUACGGUUC
rnacentral:rRNA from 1 species